rnacentral:rRNA from 1 species
AACUUUUAGUUAUUAUUAAAAGCUGAUUCUGCUCAAUGGUAUCUAAAUAGCCGCAGUACCCUGACUGUGCAAAGGUAGCAUAAUCAGUUGGCCUAUAAUUGAGGUCUAGUAUGAAUGAAUGUACGGGGAACACCUGUCUUUUUCAAAUUUUUAGGAAUUUAGUGAACAAGUGCAAAAACUUGUAUUUUUAAAAAAGACGAGAAGACCCUUGAAACUUUUAAGAUAAUUUUGUUGGGGCGACAGUAGUGCAAUUAACCACUAUUUAUAUACAUGAAAUAUAUUAGUAAGAUAAAGUUACUCUAGGGAUAACAGCAUAAUUAAUUAUAGUUUGUGACCUCGAUGUUGGACUAGGUAUGAUAUUCUUUAGAAGAAACUAUCACUUGCUCUGUUCGAGCAGUUACACCUACAU